GGAAAUAAGCACCGCACUUUUGGCACCGAUUUUUGAAAACCGGUGGGAAAGAAUGGGCGGGAUUGGGAAUACAGAUAUUUGGCACCGGUUAACCGGUGCCAAUUAAAAAAAAAAUUAGAAAACCGGUGGGCUUUCGCACCGGUUCAAGCCAAACCGGUGCCAAUUAAAAAAAUUUAAUAAAAAAAAAUUCGGGCUUGUCCUUUUAUUCAUUCCCUCAUCCCCUCUAUCUCUCUCUCAUAUUCAUUCUCUCUCAUCAACCCUCCCUUAUCUCCUUUAUUUUCUGAUCUUUCAGCGCUCCUUCUCUCUCAUCUCCCUUAUCUCCAAAAUCUGCAGCUCAGAUCUCUCUAAUCUCUCGUUCUCAGAUCUCUCAUCCUCUUCCUCAUCAGUUUCUCAUCUUCUUCUUCCUCAUAUGUUCUCUCUUCCUCAUUUUAUCCUCAUUUUCGAAACCUUAGUCUAAGUUCGAAACCAUCGCCGCCGCCGCCGUUUAUACAAUAACCAGCCGCCGACGUUCAUGCAAUCACCAGCCGCCGUUCUUCUCUCCAAUAAUUAUUAGAAAAUCAAAAUUUAAGGUGGUAUUGAUACUUCAAAAAAAAAAUUACAAGGAUUGCACAUAGAAUAAGCUACGCAUUCAAGAUUUGAUUAACAAGUUUUGUUGUACAUUGUUAGCGUGAUUUAUAUUUUUUUUAAAAUUGCAAAAUAACACUUAAUCAGAUGAAUAUAUAUAUAUAUAUGUGUGUGUGUGAUUAAUGUAUAAUACGAUUUGGUGUUUUUUUGUUUGA